rnacentral:rRNA from 1 species
AUGAUCUCGUGGAGCGACUCCAUGUCGACCUGCUUGGGCGCCGGCGGUUACGGGGAGAGGUGUGCAGGCGGCGGAGAGGGCGCCGGCGAGGUCGGUGACGGCGUCGGAGUGGGGCUUGUCGAGCGACUCCCAUGGUGCGAGGAGGGGGAGCUGCGGCCGCAGCAGCCUUUCCAGCUUCAGUUUCUGCCGCCGCCGCUGCGCCACGAUCCGCUUCGCCGCAUGGAUGUUGCGCAGCUCCGCCACGCGGAGCCACGUGUAGAACAGCUUGUUCUGCAUGCAUGCAGGUGCCAUGACCAUCCAUCACCUCACCAAUAUACUCGGCCGCUGAAGGACACGAUGCGUGCAUGGCUCACCUCGGCUGCGGAGGUCGCGCGGGCGACGGCCUUCUCCAUCCGAGCGUUGGCGAACCGCCACUGCAGCAGCCGCGUGGCGAGCACGCGCGCCCGGUGCACCGUCUCCUCCUUCUCGGACCCCUCCCUCUUCCGCGCCAUCAUGUCCCUCAGCGCGCCAGCCGAUACUUUAUCCGCCGGGGUUUCGUCCGGCGACGCCCCCCCGGUGCUCCGCCUCCGCCUCGUCGGUUCCCAGGGGCCUUGCCUCGCACCGACGCCGGGCUGUGGCGGCGACCGGAGGGGGGAUAGCGUCACCGCCCCGGCGUCCGCGCCGUGGACAGUGUUCUGGUCCUUGCUGCUCAGUGCCCGGCGGGGCGGCUGCGCGGCUGCAUCGGCGUCGCCGGGGCUUGGCUUCUUCUUGUGGCCGAACGAGGCCGCCUUGCGGAGGGAGCGUGCGAAGUUGGCCGAGGAGAAGAGCGGCGCGGCGCGCAUCCCGUCGUAG